AUUUUGAUAUCGAUUUUGAUACAUAUAAGGUGUCCUACGGAUAAUGCAAAUCGAAGCUAUUUGAUGUCUGACUCGGGCCUAUAUGACCGAUCGAUCGAAAUACUCCAAGACUCCACCUGA
rnacentral:rRNA from 1 species